AUUGAACGCUGGCGGCAGGCCUAACACAUGCAAGUCGAGCGAGCGGCGGACGGGUGAGUAAUGUCUGGGAAACUGCCUGAUGGAGGGGGAUAACUACUGGAAACGGUAGCUAAUACCGCCUACUCUCAGAUGUGCCCCGAUGGGAUUAGCUAGUAGGUGUGGUAACGGCUCACCUAGGCGACGCUCCCUAGCUGGUCUGAGAGGAUGACCAGCCACACUGGAACGGGGACACGGUCCAGACGCCUACGGGAGGCAGCAGUGGGGAAUAUUGCACAAUGGGGGCAAGCCUGAUGCAGCCAUGCCGCGUGUGGGAAGAAGGCCUUCGGGUUGUAAAGAACUUUCAGCGGGGAGGCGUUACCCGCAGAAGAAGCACCGGCUAACUCCGUGCCAGCAGCCGCGGUAAUUC
rnacentral:rRNA from 1 species